rnacentral:rRNA from 1 species
CCUACGGGAGGCAGCAGUGGGGAAUAUUGGACAAUGGGGGGAACCCUGAUCCAGCGACGCCGCGUGAGUGAAGAAGUAUUUCGGUAUGUAAAGCUCUAUCAGCAGGGACGAAAGUAAUGACGGUACCUGACUAAGAAGCCCCGGCUAACUACGUGUCAGCAGCAGCGGUAAUACGUAGGGGGCCAGCGUUAUCCGGAUUUACUGGGUGUAAAGGGAGCGUCGACGGUUACUGAAGUCUGGUGUGAAAGGCGGGGGCACCACCCCCGGACUGCUUUGGAAACUGUAGAACUGGAGUGCAGGAGAGGUAAGUGGAAUUCCUAGUGUAGCGGUGAAAUGCGUAGAGAGUAGGAGGAACACCAGUGGCGAAGGCGACUUACUGGACUGUAACUGACGUUGAGGCUCGAAAGCGUGGGGAGCAAACAGGAUUAGAUACCCCAGUAGUC